UUGGUGUCACAUGAUUUUGCCCCCCCAAGCAGCUCACUGCCUCCCCCCACACUGUCACCCCCAGUCACCUCCCACCUCCCCUCAGAUCCUCCGAUUCCUGCCCCACCCCCACCAAGCGCUUCCCGAAGCAAAAGCAGCGGCGCAGCGAGUAACGGCACUAACGGCUCCCUCGGAAUUCGCGCCUUUCCGCGCGCUGCGCAUGCGCAGGGACAGCGGGAACGAUACUGCCUCCCUCUGCUCGCGCGCCAGCUCAGGCCCUGCAGCGGGCUCCGCCCAGGGUCCAAUCGCAGCGGGGCGGGUGGGGCCUGAGCAGGGGCAGGGAGAGACUGACAAAGGCGGGACGCACUGAAAACCCGGCCGAGGCGGAUGGGAGGGAGGCUGGGUGUUAGAGCGCGCGUGCGCAGCAGGAAGGGACCAAACAGAAGGAGGCCAGGCCCCCACCUGAGGACUCCAACCCAAAUCCUGAGACCCAAGGGUUACCAAUCCAGAUGAUCAAUGUUUGCUCCACUUCUCCCUUCCCUCAACCUUGCCAAACCACAAAGGAGAGGCCUCCUCUGGCCACCCAUGGAACUGCUGAUUCAGGAAAAGGCUGAUUGGGGAGGAACGUUGGAAAGAAGGAAACCACGAGCCUGGAGCAGGUGCAGAGGCUGCUGUGACUGGCACAGGCAAGGCAGGGCUCUGACUGCAAUUGCUGGGAGAGGAGAGCCAGCACCACAUGCCCUUGUGAUUCCCUGGGGCUGUCAGUGUUCAGAGAUCCUGAGGGUGCAAUCUCUGCAGCUCCUGCAGCCAUGGAGAGUGACUCUUCUCCUCCUUCCCUCGGGAUGGGCAAUGGAAACACGUGGAGCAGCUGGGAGAAAAGUCCCAGAGAGCCGCCCCAUAACUAAGCUGUCCCAGGCACCUGCCAGGUAAUUUUGAAAGAAGCAUUUUCUUUCCAAAUAACCGUGUUUAGACAGUGUUUCUUUUUUCAAAAUAAUGCUAUUUUGAAAUAGCGCCAUAAUGUAAUUAUGCAAAUGAAGCC